CCUACGGGAGGCAGCAGUGAGGAAUAUUGGUCAAUGGGCGCAAGCCUGAACCAGCCAAGUCGCGUGAGGGAUGACGGUCCUAUGGAUUGUAAACCUCUUUUGUCGGGGAGCAAGGCCCGCCACUUGUGGAGGUCUGCAGGUACCGUGCGAAUAAGGGCCGGCUAAUUCCGUGCCAGCAGCCGCGGUAAUACGGAAGGCCCGAGCGUUAUCCGGAUUCAUUGGGCUUAAAGGGAGCGUAGGCGGGCGUUCAAGUCAGCUGUAAAAUCGCGCGGCUCAACCGCGCCCCGCAGUUGAAACUGGACGCCUUGAGUUCACAACAGGCAGGCGGAAUUCGUGGUGUAGCGGGGAAAUGCAUAGAUAGCACGAGGAACCCCGAUUGCGAAGGCAGCCUGCCGGGGUGCGACUGACGCUGAGGCUCGAAGGUGCGGGUAUCAAACAGGAUUAGAUACCCGGGUAGUC
rnacentral:rRNA from 1 species